AGACGGAGGGCGCAAGCGUUGUUCGGAAUUACUGGGCGUAAAGCGCGGGCAGGUGGUCUGUUAAGUCGUUUGUGAAAAUCCGGGGCUCAACCCCGCGAAAUGCAGACGAUACUGGCAGGCUGGAGAUCGGUAGAGGCUAGCGGAAUUCCUGGUGUAGCGGUGGAAUGCGUAGAUAUCAGGAAGAACACCAGUGGCGAAGGCGGCUAGCUGGGCCGAGUCUGACACUCAUCCGCGAAAGCGUGGGGAGCAAACAGGAUUAGAUACCCCGGUAGUCC
rnacentral:rRNA from 1 species